GGAGGAGUACCCAAGUGGCUGAAGGGUCUGGCUUCGAACACCAGUAGGUCGGUAGUCCCGGCGCGGGGGUUCAAAUCCCCCCUCCUCCG
rnacentral:tRNA from 1 species